rnacentral:rRNA from 1 species
GAGUUUGAUCUUGGCUCAGAUUGAACGCUGGCGGCAGGCCUAACACAUGCAAGUCGAGCGGAUGACGGGAGCUUGCUCCUUGAUUCAGCGGCGGACGGGUGAGUAAUGCCUAGGAAUCUGCUUGGUAGUGGGGGACAACGUUUCGAAAGGAACGCUAAUACCGCAUACGUCCUACGGGAGAAAGCAGGGGACCUUCGGGCCUUGCGCUAUCAGAUGAGCCUAGGUCGGAUUAGCUAGUUGGUGGGGUAAUGGCUCACCAAGGCGACGAUCCGUAACUGGUCUGAGAGGAUGAUCAGUCACACUGGAACUGAGACACGGUCCAGACUCCUACGGGAGGCAGCAGUGGGGAAUAUUGGACAAUGGGCGAAAGCCUGAUCCAGCCAUGCCGCGUGUGUGAAGAAGGUCUUCGGAUUGUAAAGCACUUUAAGUUGGGAGGAAGGGCAGUAAGUUAAUACCUUGCUGUUUUGACGUUACCGACAGAAUAAGCACCGGCUAACUCUGUGCCAGCCGCCGACCG